rnacentral:rRNA from 1 species
GUGGGGAAUCUUCCGCAAUGGACGAAAGUCUGACGGAGCGACGCCGCGUGAGUGAAGAAGGCCUUCGGGUCGUAAAGCUCUGUCAUCAGGGACGAAUGGCCGGUGGAGUGGAAAGCCACCGGAUUGACGGUACCUGAGAAGGAAGCCACGGCUAACUACGUGCCAGCAGCCGCGGUAAUACGUAGGUGGCAAGCGUUGUCCGGAAUUAUUGGGCGUAAAGCGCGCGCAGGUGGGAUCUUAAGUCCAUUUUGAAAGUUCGGAGCUCAACUCCGUGAUGGGAUGGAAACUGGGAUUCUUGAGUACCGGAGAGGAAAGCGGAAUUCCCCGUGUAGCGGUGAAAUGCGUAGAUAUGGGGAGGAACACCAGUGGCGAAGGCGGCCUGCUGGACAUUAACUGACGCUGAUGCGCGAAAGCGUGGGGAGCAAACAGGAUUAGAUACCCCGGUAGUCC